rnacentral:rRNA from 1 species
AUAUUAAUAAGCGGAGGAAAAGACACCAACAGGGAUUCCCUCAGUAACGGCGAGUGAACAGGGAGAAGCGCAACAUGGGAAUCGUGCCUUGGUACGAGUUGUAGGGUUGCAUUGUUUGCCUUGGGCGAAGCGGCGUGUAAGUCUCUUGGAAUAGAGCAGCACAGAGGGUGAUACUCCCGUAACGCGCUGCAGAGUCUGUGAUGGUAAGCAGUAGGCGAGUCGAGUUGUUGGAUG